UGUUCUAGGCUGCUGCUUAGCGUGGCGAGAAUUUUGCUCCACUUUCUCCGGUCCCCGAGAUUCGGCUUCCACUAACGCAGGAGAGAGCUUUUGCAGU